rnacentral:rRNA from 1 species
UGGCCGUCCGAGUUGUAAUCUAGAGAAGUGUUACCCGUGCUGGACCGUGUAUAAGUCUCCUGGAAUGGAGCGUCAUAGAGGGUGAGAAUCCCGUCUUUGACACGGACUACCAGUGCUUUUGUGGUGCUCUCAAAGAGUCGAGUUGUUUGGGAAUGCAGCUCAAAAUGGGUGGUAAAUUCCAUCUAAAGCUAAAUAUUGGCGAGAGACCGAUAGCGAACAAGUACCGUGAGGGAAAGAUGAAAAGAACUUUGGAAAGAGAGUUAAACAGUACGUGAAAUUGCUGAAAGGGAAACGCUUGAAGUCAGUCGCGUUGGCUGGAAAUCAACCUUGCUCUUGCUGGGUGUACUUUCUAGUCGACGGGCCAGCAUCAGUUUUGACCGGUGGAAAAAGUCCAAGGGAAUGUGGCAUCUUCGGAUGUGUUAUAGCCCUUGGUCGUAUACACUGGUUGGGACUGAGGAAUUCAGCACGCCGAAAGGCCGGGUCUUUGGACCACGUUCGUGCUUAGGAUGCUGGCAUAAUGGCUUUAAUCGACCCGUCUUGAAACACGGACCAAGGAGUCUAACAUGCCUGCGAGUGUUUGGGUGGGAAAACCCGAGCGCGUAAUGAAAUGAAAUUGGAUCCCUGUCUUGGGGAGCACCGACGCCCGGACCAGACGUUCUCUGACGGAUCCGCGGUAGAGCAUGUAUGUUGGGACCCGAAAGAUGGUGAACUAUGCCUGAAUAGGGUGAAGCCAGAGGAAACUCUGGUGGAGGCUCGUAGC